rnacentral:lncRNA from 1 species
CAGCUUCAUCAAUUCAUAAAGUAACAGAUUCUUUGUCCCACAACCACAGCACAGAGACUACCAGGCCCAAUUAGAAUCUGGCUGCUAAUCAAGAGUAAACAUCAGCAUGAAUAUAUCAUAUGGC